rnacentral:rRNA from 1 species
GAUGAACGCUGACAGAAUGCUUAACACAUGCAAGUCAACUUGAAUUUGGGUUUUUAACUUAGGUUUGGGUGGCGGACGGGUGAGUAACGCGUAAAGAACUUGCCUCACAGCUAGGGACAACAUUUGGAAACGAAUGCUAAUACCUAAUAUUAUGAUAAUAGGGCAUCCUAUAAUUAUGUAAGCUAUAAGCGCUGUGAGAGAGCUUUGCGUCCCAUUAGCUAGUUGGAGAGGUAACGGCUCACCAAGGCGAUGAUGGGUAGCCGGCCUGAGAGGGUGAUCGGCCACAAGGGGACUGAGACACGGCCCUUACUCCUGCGGGAGGCAGCAGUGGGGAAUAUUGGACAAUGGACCGAGAGUCUGAUCCAGCAAUUCUGUGUGCACGAUGAAGUUUUUCGGAAUGUAAAGUGCUUUCAGUUGGGAAGAAACAAAUGACGGUACCAACAGAAGAAGUGACGGCUAAAUACGU